rnacentral:rRNA from 1 species
UACGUAGGGUGCAAGCGUUAAUCGGAAUUACUGGGCGUAAAGCGUGCGCAGGCGGUUUUGUAAGUCAGAUGUGAAAUCCCCGGGCUUAACCUGGGAACUGCGUUUGAAACUACAAGGCUAGAGUGUGGCAGAGGGGGGUGGAAUUCCACGUGUAGCAGUGAAAUGCGUAGAGAUGUGGAGGAACACCGAUGGCGAAGGCGGCGAUCUGGGUCGAUACUGACGCUGAGGUGCGAAAGCGUGGGGAGCAAACAGG